CAACUCUUCAAAACUCUAGGAUAUGCUACAUAAUGUACAUAAUAAAAGUAGUAAUUUCAACAGAAAAUCAAGAUGCCACUCGAUUUUGCCAUGGAUUUAUAAAAAUGACACAUCAGACAACAGAAGCAUAUGAGAAAAAUUUGCUGGGUAUCUACUCACUUCAAUUCAAACAUUUGAAGAAAUUAUGAAAAUUCCGAUGAGUUUUUAAAGUUUGUGCUUGCUCUGGUGUAGUGUAGCCAUGCAUUGAUCUGUCAUCACAGAACUGAAGUCUGUACCUGAAUAUGGAAAGCUGUAGUUGGGAGGAAAACGAAACAAUAUUUAGUCCAAUUCAAUUAACGGUAUCUCAGAAAUAG
rnacentral:lncRNA from 1 species